rnacentral:rRNA from 1 species
UACGGGGGGAGCAAGCGUUGUUCGGAUUUACUGGGCGUAAAGGGCGCGUAGGCGGCCACCGCAAGUCGACUGUGAAAUCUCCGGGCUUAACUCGGAAAGGUCAGCCGAUACUGCGGGGCUAGAGUGCAGAAGGGGCAACUGGAAUUCUCGGUGUAGCGGUGAAAUGCGUAGAUAUCGAGAGGAACACCUGCGGCGAAGGCGGGUUGCUGGGCUGACACUGACGCUGAUUGUGCGAAAGCUAGGGAGCGAACGGG